CCCCUCUCAGGGUUGUACCUGGAGACGUCCCAGCACUCUACCGGUCUCAAAUACAGGAAGGAAAGUCAGGCAGAGGCAUAUCCAUUCCAUUCCUAGCUUGGGCAGUGGCUAGCGAGUGGAAGGCAAUCUGCUACAAGU